rnacentral:rRNA from 1 species
AUACGGAGGGUGCAAGCGUUAAUCGGAAUUACUGGGCGUAAAGCGUACGUAGGCGGUUAGUUAAGUUAGAUGUGAAAGCCCCGGGCUUAACCUGGGAACUGCAUUUAAAACUGGCGAACUAGAGUUGAGUAGAGGGGAGUGGAAUUUCAGGUGUAGCGGUGAAAUGCGUAGAGAUCUGAAGGAACACCAGUGGCGAAGGCGGCUCCCUGGACUCAAACUGACGCUGAGGUACGAAAGCGUGGGUAGCAAACGGGAUUAGAAACCCCAGUAGUCC